GCUGAAUUUAAAUUUAGAAAAAUGGAGGUCGUUUUGACACAGCUUAAAGAUUUUUCUUCAAAAUCUGUCACAUUUAAUAGCUGUAGCCCAGCAGAAGUUUCCUCCUUGAGGUAUUACAGCAAAGAAGAUGGACCAGAUAGACAGAGCUUAGACAUUGAAAGUGCCUUGGCCUUCCUCAGAAAAGAACUGAGCUUAUUACUGUGCCUGGAGCUUACUGAAUUCAAUCCAACUAAGGGGUAUUUGGAAGAAGCAGCAGAUGAGUACAGUCAAGAGUCUGAAUAUUCUGAAGAAGGACCUGUUGGAGAAACGCCAUUGUCUACAAUGGUAUUGGUCCUCAGAGUAAAAUAUAAGACUCAUCUCAGCUAACUCUGAUCGAGAGACUGAUCCAAGACAAUUCCAAAGGAUCCAUAAUGAAUAAUGCUAUCGUGUUCAGAGACAGAACUGAUGAACUCUGAGUAUAAAUUGAAGAACAGUUUUCUCAUUUUAUUUUCUUGCUAUUUUUUGGUGAUAUGACUAAUAUGGAAAUAUAUUUUGCAUGACUUCAC
rnacentral:lncRNA from 1 species